rnacentral:tRNA from 1 species
UGGAUUGAAAAUCCAUAUAUCGGCGGUUCAAAUCCGCCCUU